UCAUUAUUGGUACAAGCAGAGGUAG
rnacentral:piRNA from 1 species